UACAGAGGGUGCGAGCGUUGUUCGGAAUUAUUGGGCGUAAAGGGCGCGUAGGCGGUGCGGUAAGUCACCUGUGAAAUCUCCUGGCUCAACUGGGAGCUUGCAGGCGAAACUGCCGUGCUGGAGUGUGGGAGAGGUGCGUGGAAUUCCUGGUGUAGCGGUGAAAUGCGUAGAUAUCAGGAGGGACACCUGUGGCGAAAGCGGCGCACUGGACCACAACUGACGCUCAGGCACGAAAGCUGGGGGAGCGAACAGG
rnacentral:rRNA from 1 species